AAUUCGCUGUUUCGCCCAGGCUGGAGUGAAGUGGCGCGAUGUGGGCUCACUGCAACCUCCGCCCCCAGGGUUCAAGGGAUUCUCCUGCCUCAGCCACCAUGAUUUAACACUGAGAAGUAGGCAGUCACAGAGAAAAAGUUUGGAAUAGUUCACCAGUGAAGUCAUCUCAACCAGCACAGGGCCUUGACUCCUAACAACAAUCACACGAACUUGGAAGAGGAUCCUUCCCCAGCUGAAACUUCACUUGAGACCUUCUCAUUGGCCAUCAUCGACAUCUGGAUUCAUGAUACAGAGAAACUUGAGUAAUGAUGACAAUAGCAGUCCAGCCUGCAUGGAUGCUGACAUGGAUGCUGUCUCCCAUUCUUACCACUGGAUGUCAAGAACUGCUAGAUGCGAUCCAGCCAGUCUGUACUCGACUCUCAGUUCCAUCUUCUCAACUCACAGUGUCUUCCAAAGUCCAUGCCACACCACAGCCUGGAAGAUCUCCCAAGGCUUUGAAUAACUCACCAGUGAAGUCAUCUUGACCUGGACAGAAAUUGAAUCCUCCCAAGAAUCCCAGGAGCUUGGAAGGGGAUCCUUCCCCAGAUGAGCCUUCCCUUGAAAUCUCUGCCAGGCAUCUGACCCAGAGAAACUCACACCACUUUACAGAGGAACACCAGGGAUGUUCCAGGAACCAUGCCCACAAAGCUUACUAAGCCAUGGGACUGCAUACUACACUCCCAAGGACAUCCACAAAGUCAAGACUCUUGCGUUUUCAGACUGUGAUCAUGGGCUACAUUCUCCAUACCAUGUUCAUAUCUACAGUGAAAAAACAAACUCCUGCAUCCUGGAGACCUACAAUGAGAGACACAGCUGACCUUGACCAUAUUUCUUACUUCUCAGAAGACUGUAGCAGUAAUUCAGGUGCUAUUAUUUGGGGCAUUUAUAUUUCAGUAAACCUUCUUACCCCUCUAAUCUUACAGUUCACCCCAUCAGAAAGGAUGGUUUCAUUUAAAUUGGCAAUCUUAAGUCAUGGGGGUUUGCUCUUUUUCUUUCAUUAUAACAGGAGUUUCUAUAAGGUAAGUGACUUGUACAAUCCCA
rnacentral:lncRNA from 10 species